rfam:Garciella nitratireducens DSM 15102 genome assembly, contig: BP36DRAFT_scaffold00010.10
AUUUCCUUUAAUUAGGUCCAGAGAGGCCAGCAAGGAGCAAUGGAAAUAAAAUAGCAUUAUUGAGUUUUAUUUUGUCAUAGUGACUUCUUGCUGGAGCAAGAAGUUUUUUUAU